AGCGAACGCUGGCGGCAGGCCUAACACAUGCAAGUCGAACGAACCCUUCGGGGUUAGUGGCGGACGGGUGAGUAACACGUGGGAACGUGCCUUUAGGUUCGGAAUAACUCAGGGAAACUUCUGCUAAUACCGAAUGUGCCCUUCGGGGGAAAGAUUUAUCGGCUUUAGAGCGGCCCGCGUCUGAUUAGCUAGUUGGUGGGGUAAUGGCUCACCAAGGCUACGAUCAGUAGCUGGUCUGAGAGGAUGACCAGCCACAUUGGGACUAGGACACGGCCCAAACUCCUACGGGAGGCAGCAGUGGGGAAUCUUGCGCAAUGGGCGAAAGCCUGACGCAGCCAUGCCGCGUGGAUGAUGAAGGUCUUAGGAUUGUAAAAUCCUUUCACCGGUGAAGAUAAUGACUGUAGCCGGAGAAGAAGCCCCGGCUAACUUCGUGCCAGCCGCCGCCGUAAAAC
rnacentral:rRNA from 1 species